GACGAACGCUGGCGGCGUGCCUAAUACAUGCAAGUCGAACGCAGUGGGGACGGGUGAGUAAAACGUGGGUAACCUCCCAUCAGAGGGGAUAACACUUGGAAACAGGUGCUAAACCGAUACUGAUGGAUGGACUCGUGGUGCAUGAGCUAGUUGGUGAGGUAACGGCUCACCAAGGCCACGAUGAAUAGCCGAUCUGAGAGGGUGAUCGGCCACACUGGGACUGAGACACGGCCCAGACUCCUACGGGAGGCAGCAGUAGGGAAUAUUCGGCAAUGGACGAAAGUCUGACCGAGCAACGCCGCGUGAGUGAAGAAGGUUUUCGGGUCGUAAAACUCUGUUGUUAGAGAAGCGGUAUCUAACCAGAAAGCCACGGCUAACUACGUGCAAGCCGCCGCGGUAAUAC
rnacentral:rRNA from 1 species